rnacentral:rRNA from 1 species
UACGGAGGGAGCUAGCGUUGUUCGGAGUUACUGGGCGUAAAGCGCACGUAGGCGGCGAUUUAAGUCAGAGGUGAAAGCCCGGGGCUCAACCCCGGACGCCUUUGAGACUGGAUUGCUAGAAUCUUGGAGAGGCGAGUGGAAUUCCGAGUGUAGAGGUGAAACUCGUAGAUAUUCGGAAGAACACCAGUGGCGAAGGCGGCUCGCUGGACAGUAACUGACGCUGAGGCGCGAAAGUGUGGGUAGCAAACAGGAUUAGAAACCCCGGUAGU